UUUGCUCAGGGUCCGUGGUUGUGGGAUGUUUGUACAAAGAUCUCCAUGAAUUGCUGCUGACUAAGCAGUCCAUUGGGAAUGAAACUCACAAUUCAAGGUACGUCAACACCAGGAUAAUGACCGCGGCUAUGGAUCCUAAACCGGAAAUUUUACAAGAUCUCAUCUUGAAGUUCAGAAACCUAAAGGUCGUUGAGGAAAAAAAGCAUUGUAUGUUUUGGAGUGGCUUCAGCAAGAGUCCAGACGGGUACUCAGAGGAUGGUUGUCAUGUAGAUAC